rnacentral:rRNA from 1 species
UGGGGAAUAUUGCACAAUGGGGGAAACCCUGAUGCAGCGACGCCGCGUGAACGAAGAAGGUAUUCGUAUCGUAAAGUUCUGUCCUAUGGGAAGAUAAUGACAGUACCAUAGAAGAAAGCUCAGGCUAAAUACGUGCCAGCAGCCGCGGUAAUACGUAUGGAGCGAGCGUUGUCCGGAAUUAUUGGGCGUAAAGGGUACGCAGGCGGUUUAAUAAGUCGAAUGUUAAAGAUCGGGGCUCAACCCCGCAAAGCAUUGGAAACUGAUAAACUUGAGUAGUGGAGAGGAAAGUGGAAUUCCUAGUGUAGUGGUGAAAUACGUAGAUAUUAGGAGGAAUACCAGUAGCGAAGGCGACUUUCUGGACACAAACUGACGAUGAGGUACGAAAGCGUGGGGAGCAAACAGG